UACGUAGGGGGCAAGCGUUGUCCGGAUUUAUUGGGCGUAAAGAGCGUGUAGGCGGCCAGACAGGUCCGUUGUGAAAACUCGAGGCUCAACCUCGAGACGCCGAUGGAAACCGUUUGGCUAGAGUCCGGAAGAGGAGAAUGGAAUUCCCGGUGUAGCGGUGAAAUGCGCAGAUAUCGGGAAGAACACCCGUGGCGAAGGCGGUUCUCUGGGACGGUACUGACGCUGAGACGCGAAAGCGUGGGGAGCGAACAGG
rnacentral:rRNA from 1 species